UACGUAGGGGGCAAGCGUUAUCCGGAAUUACUGGGUGUAAAGGGAGCGUAGACGGUAAUGUAAGUCUGGAGUGAAAGGCGGGGGCCCAACCCCCCGGACUGCUCUGGAAACUAUGUUACUAGAGUGCAGGAGAGGUAAGCGGAAUUCCUAGUGUAGCGGUGAAAUGCGUAGAUAUUAGGAGGAACACCAGUGGCGAAGGCGGCUUACUGGACUGUAACUGACGUUGAGGCUCGAAAGCGUGGGGAGCAAACAGG
rnacentral:rRNA from 1 species